rnacentral:rRNA from 1 species
GACGAACGCUGGCGGCGUGCUUAACACAUGCAAGUCGAACGGAAAGGCCCUGCUUUUGUGGGGUGCUCGAGUGGCGAAAGGGUGAGUAACACGUGAGUAACCUGCCCUUGACUUUGGGAUAACUUCAGGAAACUGGGGCUAAUACCGGAUAGGAGCUCCUGCUGCAUGGUGGGGGUUGGAAAGUUUCGGCGGUUGGGGAUGGACUCGCGGCUUAUCAGCUUGUUGGUGGGGUAGUGGCUUACCAAGGCUUUGACGGGUAGCCGGCCUGAGAGGGUGACCGGCCACAUGGGGACUGAGAUACGGCCCAGACUCCUACGGGAGGCAGCAGUGGGGAAUAUUGCACAAUGGGCGGAAGCCUGAUGCAGCAACGCCGCGUGCGGGAUGACGGCCUUCGGGUUGUAAACCGCUUUCGCCUGUGACGAAGCGUGAGUGACGGUAAUGGGUAAAGAAGCACCGGCUAACUACGUG